rnacentral:snoRNA from 1 species
UCGGCAUCUGUGAUGCUAUCCUAGUUAUCAUCCUUGCACUUUGACUGUGAAUGAAGAAAAUCACGGGGAAGAAAAACUGAGAUGCCU